AUAAAGGUUAAACACUAAAACCUUUUGCCUGAGCAGAAUUGGGAAGUGGAUCUAGCGGAUCUUGAAUCCCAGGUUGACGAUAACACUGCUGCAGUCAUCGUGAAUAAUCCCUCUAACCCUUGUGGAUCAGUGUUUUCACGAAACCAUUUGCAAGCAAUCCUAGAUAUCGCUGCCAGGAACUUCGUUCCUAUAAUUGCUGACGAGAUUUAUGAACAUUUUGUGUUUCCAGGGUACAACUACUACUCCGUUGCUUCUCUGUCAACUGAAGUACCUGUUCUUUCUUGCAGCGGUUUGACCAAAAGGUUUCUUGUUCCUGGAUGGAGAUUAGGAUGGAUAACCAUUCACGACAGAAAA